rnacentral:misc_RNA from 1 species
GAUGAAGAACGUAGCGAAAUGCGAUACGUAAUGUGAAUUGCAGAAUUCAGUGAAUCAUCGAAUCUUUGAACGCAUAUUGCGCUCUCUGGUAUUCCGGAGAGCAUGCUUGUUUGAGUAUCAGUAAACACCUCAACUUCCAUAUCUUUUUUGAAAUGGGAGUUGGACUUGAGUGAUCCCACCGCUUUUCCUCACCGAAAAGUGGCGGGUUACUUGAAAUGCAGGUGCAGCUGGACUUUUCUCUGAGCUAUAAGCAUAUCUAUUUAGUCUGCCUAAAAAACAGAUUAUUACCUUUGCUGCAGCUAACAUAAAGGAGAUUAGUUCUUGUGCUGACUGAUGCAGGAUUCACAAAGACGGCUUCGGCCGACUUUGUAAACUCGAUCUCAAAUCAAGUAAGACUACCCGCUGAACUUAAGCAUAUCAAUAAGCGGAGGA